rnacentral:lncRNA from 10 species
UGAGUCUUAACUGCAGAUGAAGUGUCUGGAAAUCAUGGUAUUCAAGGUAUGGUCUACAUUGCCUGCCGGCCUACAAUCAAGAUCUGCAAGUCAGAGCAAAACACCAGCUGUCCCUGUCUCCUGCACCCAUCCCCAUUCCAGGACGCCUGGCUUGUCCCUGAUAGGAGUUGAGUUGGCCUGUAGAAAUGCAUCCUGUACAACCGCAAAUACAAGGGAAAUAAGGCAGAAAAUAAGUUCAAGUGAGGAAUCAUUGCUCAACAGGUAGGCCACAGAAAGACUGGGAACUACACAUUUGACUUUGAGUUUCUUAGAAGCUGAAGCAAAGAGAGAAAAGCAAAACAGUUCAGAGGUUCUUAGGAGGUGCAAGGCCUGCACCUCCUAAGAACAACAGAGAUGGAAGGAAGAACAACAGAGAUGGAAAAAUG